AGACAGGUCAGAGACAGACAGGUCAGAGACAGACAGGUCAGAGAGAGACAGGUCAGAGACAGACAGACAGGUCAGAGAGAGACAGACAGACAGGUCAGAGAGAGACAGGUCAGAGAGAAACAGGUCAGAGAGAGACAGGUCAGAGACAGACAGACAGGUCAGAGACAGACAGGUCAGAGACAGACAGACAGGUCAGAGACAGACAGGUCAGAGAGAGACAGGUCAGAGACAGACAGACAGGUCAGAGAGAGACAGGUCAGAGAGAGACAGACAGACAGGUCAGAGACAGACAGGUCAGAGAGAGACAGGUCAGAGACAGACAGACAGGUCAGAGAGAGACAGACA